UCUCUCCUCGUUCCUGUCUCUUGCUCUCCCUGCUUCACCUGUCUGCACUCUCAGCUGAUUACUGCAGGUGACUCACAUUGCAGUAAUCAGCUCACCUGCCCUCAAUAUCACCUGCUCACUAUUUAAACUCUGCUUAGUGACUCUUUGCCUGUUUGACCAUAAACUACUAGACACCUGCUUCUCUCCAGGCUUGGAUUCCCACAAAGACUCGCAUGGCUUCACACGCUCUGCUCCCUCAUGGACUCUGCUUCCCCACUUCUGGACUCCUUUUUCUCCGUCUUGUGCAGUCCUGCGGGGGAGAAGCGCAUGUGGCAGCAGCUGUAGAUGAAAUAUAAGAACAUUGUUCAAACAGCCAACAGAAAGAAAGCAGAUGCCUGUAAAAAGGGAGGUGGCCCAGCACCACCACCUGUAACGGAGGCAGAGGAGCUGCUCCUAAGCCAGAAUUUGGGAAGGCCAGUGGCUGAGGGAAUUCCUGGAGGGAGCUCAUUCUCUGAGACCACAUCCCAAGACACAAGUGCGUGCGUGUGUGUGUGCGCGCGCGCGCGUGUGUUCAUGCGCUCAUGCGCCCACUGAACAUUUGCCAUAAGGAAGCACAGAGCACUGCAUUGUGUCUGCGUACGAGCGAGUGUGUGUGCAGCUACAGCGAUGGCAUGCGUGAAGGGGUGUGCUUUAAAGAUGGCAAGAGGAAAAGGUGCAACAGAAAAUUGGACCUUCCAAGCGUACUUGUGGAGAUGCAGGCUGAGAAGGAGCGGAACCGUGCCCAGCAUGAUGAGAACAUCUGGUUGCCCCUCAGCGAGGCAAGAGAGAAUGAAGCGGCCUUGCAGCGGGAGGAGAUGGCCCAGAAUGCUGCCUUCAACCAGUCAUUCCUGGGUGUACUGGGGCAGCUGGUGCAGGCAGUGGGCAGCCAGCGAGUCCACCUCCCAGAGACUUGAGAUUUAGUUGUAUAUAGUUUUACUUUUAGCCCUCCACUGUAGGAGAGGCCCACCACAGUUUGUACUUUGCACAUUGUAAAUAGUUUUGAUUUUGCUGCUGACUAAUAAACUAUUUUGUGACUUA
ensembl:lncRNA